CACGUAGGGCGCAAGCGUUGUCCGGAAUUAUUGGGCGUAAAGAGCUCGUAGGCGGUCUGUUGCGUCCGCUGUGAAAACUCGGGCUUAACCCCGAGCCUGCAGUGGAUACGGGCAGACUAGAGGUAGGUAGGGGAGAAUGGAAUUCCCGGUGUAGCGGUGAAAUGCGCAGAUAUCGGGAGGAACACCGGUGGCGAAGGCGGUUCUCUGGGCCUUACCUGACGCUGAGGAGCGAAAGCGUGGGGAGCGAACAGG
rnacentral:rRNA from 1 species